rnacentral:rRNA from 1 species
GUCCACGCUGUAAACGAUGUGCACUAGGCGUGGGGCCCGUACGGGUUCUGUGCCGUAGUUAACGUGUUAAGUGCACCGCCUGGGGAGUAUGCUCGCAAUGGUGAAACUCAAAGGAAUUUACUGGGGCCCGCACAAGCGGUGGAGCAUGUGGUUUAAUUCGAUGGUACACGAGGAACCUUACCAGGGCUUGACAUGUGCGUGAAUGUUCACGAGAGUGGGCAGCCCCGCAAGGGGCGCGCACACAGGUGCUGCAUGGCUGUCGU